rnacentral:tRNA from 1 species
GCCGAUGUAGCUCAGUUGGUAGAGCGCGUCCUUGGUAAGGACGAGGUCACCGGUUCAAUCCCGGUCGUCGGCUCCA